AUUGAACGCUGGCGGCAGGCCUAACACAUGCAAGUCGAACGAGUGGCGGAGGCGUGAGUAAUGUCUGGGAAAAUGCCUGAUGGAGGGGGAUAACUACUGUAAACAGUAGCUCUAACCGCAUACCCUAAGGUGUGCGCAGAUGGGAUUAGCUUGUUGGGGGGGUAACGGCUCACCAAGGCGACGAGCCCUAGCGGGUCUGAGAGGAUGACCAGCCACACUGGAACUGAGACACGGUCCAGACUCCUACGGGAGGCAGCAGUGGGGAAUAUUGCACAAUGGGCGCAAUCCUGAUGCAGCCAUGCCGCGUGUAUGAAGAAGGCCUUCGGGUUGUAAAGCACUUUCAGCGAGGAGGCGUUACCCGCAGAAGAAGCACCGGCUAACUCCGUGCCAGCAGCCGCGGUAAUUC
rnacentral:rRNA from 1 species